rnacentral:rRNA from 1 species
UACGUAGGUGGCAAGCGUUGUCCGGAAUUAUUGGGCGUAAAGCGCGCGCAGGCGGUCCUUUAAGUCUGAUGUGAAAGCCCACGGCUCAACCGUGGAGGGUCAUUGGAAACUGGGGGACUUGGGUGCAGGAGAGAAGAGUGGAAUUCCACGUGUAGCGGUGAAAUGCGUAGAUAUCAGGAGGAACACCGGUGGCGAAGGCGGCUUUCUGGACAGUAACUGACGCUGAGGCGCGAAAGCGUGGGGAGCGAACAGG